AGCAUGUGGUUUAAUUCGAUGAUACGCGAGGACCUUACCUGGGCUCGAACGUAAGAUGACUGUAGGUGAAAGCUUACAUCUCUUCGGAGCAUUUUUACGAGGUGCUGCAUGGUUGUCGUCAGCUCGUGCCGUGAGGUGUCGGUUAAGUCCCAUAACGAGCGCAACCCUACCUUUAGUUGCCAUCAGGUAAUGCUGGGGACUCUAAAGGAACUGCCUACGCAAGUAGUGAGGAAGCGGGGAUGACGUCAAAUCAGCACGGCCCUUACGUCCAGGGCUACACACGUGCUACAAUGGCCGAUACAGAGGGCAGCUACCUGGUGACAGGAUGCAAAUCUCCAAAGUCGGUCUCAGUUCGGAUCGGAGUCUGCAACCCGACUCCGUGAAGUUGGAUUCGCUAGUAAUCGCGCAUCAGCCAUGGCGCGGUGAAUACGUUCCCGGGCCUU
rnacentral:rRNA from 1 species